rnacentral:rRNA from 1 species
GCAAGUCGAGCGAGAAAGGCCUUCGGGUUGAGUAGAGCGGCGGACGGGUGAGUAACGCGUGGGAAUAUACCCAGUUCUAAGGAAUAGCCACUGGAAACGGUGAGUAAUACCUUAUACGCCCUUCGGGGGAAAGAUUUAUCGGAGAAGGAUUAGCCCGCGUUAGAUUAGGUAGUUGGUGGGGUAAUGGCCUACCAAGCCUACGAUCUAUAGCUGGUUUGAGAGGAUGAUC